UGGGGAAUAUUGCGCAAUGGGGGAAACCCUGACGCAGCAACGCCGCGUGCGGGAUGAAGGCCUUCGGGUUGUAAACCGCUUUCAGCAGGGAAGACAUCGACGGUACCUGCAGAAGAAGCCCCGGCUAACUACGUGCCAGCAGCCGCGGUAAUACGUAGGGAGCGAGCGUUAUCCGGAUUCAUUGGGCGUAAAGCGCGCGCAGGCGGUUGCUCAAGCGGAACCUCUAAUCUCGGGGCUUAACCUCGAGCCGGGUUCCGAACUGGACGACUCGAGUGCGGUAGAGGCAGAUGGAAUUCCCGGUGUAGCGGUGGAAUGCGCAGAUAUCGGGAAGAACACCAACGGCGAAGGCAGUCUGCUGGGCCGUCACUGACGCUGAGGCGCGAAAGCUGGGGGAGCGAACAGG
rnacentral:rRNA from 1 species